GUUCGGCUGACGAGUCCCAAACAGGACGAAACACGCGUCCUGGAU
rnacentral:hammerhead_ribozyme from 1 species